GCCUAUACACUACCGUUACGUGCCAGCGCGACGACCCUUAAAAAGUCGUCGUCAUUAUGCCGUAACGAGUAGGACGUGCGCGGCGGAGAGCGCAGAAGGGUCUGGGCGAGAGCCCGCCUGGAGCCUCCGUCGGUGCAGAUCUUGGUGGUAGUAGCAAAUACUCCAGCGAGGCCCUGGAGGACUGAUGUGGAGAAGGGUUUCGCGUGAACAGUAGUUGCUCGCGAGUCAGUCGAUCCUAAGCUCAAGGAGAGAUCUUAUGUCGAUGUGGCGUGUUUAUUUAUAUCGUUAUUAUGAUAAAUAACGCCCUUUGAGCGAAAGGGAAUCCGGUUCCUAUUCCGGAACCCGGCAGCGGAACCGUUUCAAUAAUCGUUCCCUCGUUUAUAAACAGCGAGUGUUCGACGGGGUAACCCAAAGUGGCCUGAAGACGCCGCCGAGGGGUCCGGGAAGAGUUUUCUUUUCUGCCUGAGCGUUCGAGUUCCAUGGAAUCCUAUAGAAGGGAGAUAUGGUUCGGAACGCGAAGAGCACCGCAUUUGCGGCGGUGUCCGGAUACUCUCUGCGGACCUUGAAAAUUCAGGUGAGGGAUGUACGUGGAGAUGUCGCGCCGGUUCGUACCCAUAUCCGCAGCAGGUCUCCAAGGUGAAGAGCCUCUCGAUAGAAUAAUGUAGGUAAGGGAAGUGGGCAAAUUGGAUCCGUAACUUCGGAAUAAGGAUUGGCUCUGAGGACCGGGGCGUGUCGGGUUUGGACGGGAAGCGGAUGCGGCCGGUGCCGGGCCUGGUCGAUGCUCGUGCGUCCCUCGGGGCGUGAGGGCUGAAUCCGGACCCGCGUUCCGGCCUUCCGCGGAUCUUCCUAGCCGUAAGGUCGCGUCGGUUUCGCUUCGUGCGGGAUCGGCGCGCUCCUGUACGACCGCCGUUCAACGGUCAGCUCAGAACUGGCACGGACAAGGGGAAUCCGACUGUCUAAUUAAAACAAAGCAUUGCGAUGGCCCUAGCGGGUGUUGACGCAAUGUGAUUUCUGCCCAGUGCUCUGAAUGUCAACGUGAAGAAAUUCAAGCAAGCGCGGGUAAACGGCGGGA